rnacentral:rRNA from 1 species
UACAGAGGGGGCAAGCGUUGUUCGGAAUUACUGGGCGUAAAGGGCGCGUAGGCGGCCGCCUAAGUCAGAUGUGAAAUCCCUCGGCUCAACCGGGGAACUGCGUCUGAUACUGGGUGGCUUGAAUCCGGGAGAGGGAUGCGGAAUUCCAGGUGUAGCGGUGAAAUGCGUAGAUAUCUGGAGGAACACCGGUGGCGAAGGCGGCAUCCUGGACCGGCAUUGACGCUGAGGCGCGAAAGCCAGGGGAGCAAACGGG